rnacentral:rRNA from 1 species
GUCUAUGGCUAUACCACCCUGAACAUGCCGCAUCUUGUGUGAUCUUGGAAGCUAAGCAAGGUUGGGCCUGGUUAGUACUUGGAUGGGAGACCACCUGGGAAUACCAGGGGCUGAAGGCU